CAAAAACCAAAUGUGUAUACUCUCUAGUCACAAACUCUCUCUGAUGAUUCUUUCGGUCUCGCACUUCUCUCUCUUUCAAUCUUCACGUCUUCAAUUCGAUUCUUCUAAGUAAUAUCACAUACUUUACUUCUUGAACGAAGCGUAUUGAAGCUUGAAGUUUAAUAGAUUUGUGCUUUGAUUUGAUUUUCGGAACAUUGGAACUUUGGGUCGUUGGAUCUGAGAAGAACAGAGAGAGAUGUGAGAAAGCAUCGAAGAUGAGAUACCUAUGCAGUUGAGGAAGUAAAGAACAAGGUUAUUUUCAAAGAAACAGCCAGGCCAUCAGGGCUAUGGCGCCAAAAAAGACAAAGGCAAAAAGAAAAUGGCUAUUUCUCAAGGGAUGAUGAUGGUGAUUGCGAUGAGGAAGAUUGAAAUGAAGCUACCUAGCUAGAUGCAUUAUUGGUAGGGAUGCUGAUUUUGUUAAAACAUUGCUUUUGUCUUUUGAUUGUUCAGCUGUAACGUAUAUGAUUGUUGGCUUUUGCUAGCUUUUGGCUGAUUGUUUAGCUGUAACAUUUAUGUCGUACAUAAUUUUAUAACUGUCCUUUUGUAAAUAUAUGAAUGCUUGUUGGCUUUUAAAUUAUGUUGUACUGAAUUUUAAUGGAUAUGAUUCUUGA